rnacentral:rRNA from 1 species
AUUGAACGCUGGCGGCAGGCCUAACACAUGCAAGUCGAGCGGAUGAAGGGAGCUUUCUCCUGGAUUCAGCGGCGGACGGGUGAGUAAUGCCUAGGAAUCUGCCUGGUAGUUGGGGAUAACGUCCGGUAACGGGCGCUAAUACCGCAUACGUCCUGAGGUAGAAAGUGGGGGAUCUUCGGACCUCACGCUAUCAGAUGAGCCUAGGUCGGAUUAGCUAGUUGGUGUGGUAAAGGCCUACCAAGGCGACGAUCCGUAACUGGUCUGAGAGGAUGAUCAGUCACACUGGAACUGAGACACGGUCCAGACUCCUACGGGAGGCAGCAGUGGGGAAUAUUGGACAAUGGGCGAAAGCCUGAUCCAGCAAUGCCGCGUGUGUGAAGAAGGUCUUCGGAUUGUAAAGCACUUUAAGUUGGGAGGAAGGGAAGUAAGUUAAUACCUUGCUGUUUUGACGUUACCAACAGAAAAAGCACCGGCUAACUUCGUG